AUGAUAAUAAUACAUUUUCCACACAUCUCUUUUUAUUCUCACAGAAAGCUUACCACCAGUUACAGAGUCAUGGCCACGUUAUCUAACCCAGGAGCUGUAUCCUUCACUGCAGUUCUCAAGGAAAGAGCACACUUUGGGAGUUUGAAAUAUAAGAGUUCUAGUACUCUCUUACACUCUUUAAAAAAGUCACUCGACAGCUUUCUCCUGUCAGAUUUCCAAUGUCUGCACAGCUGUCCAGAAGCCUAUACACUGAGCAAUGUGAAUUUUUCCUCAUUUACCCUCCAGCUACAACAUUGCUGCUUUUCAAGCCCUGUCUCCUGAACCAUGGUCAACUGGUCAACAGCCACUGCCCGGACUGCAGUAGUAGAAACACCUUGGGCCGGCCCGCUGUGUUCCGCAUCUAGCAUGUGGUGCUCAUUCUGAUUUUUACACAUUUUAGGCCAAGGGCGGUGAUGCCCGUGUGCAGGGGGGAUGUCGGAGAAGCACAUCACAAAGAGCUUUGCUAAGAUCUUCCAAGAAAGAUAAGACUUUUCCAUUCAGUACUUUGAAUUAGUGUUCUUGAAAUAUUUUACCAAAGUCGCUAUAACUCUAAGCUGCUUUGUCAAAUCGCAGCAUGGAGACAAAAUGUCUCGUACAACAGGUCCUUUGGAGGAAACAGCAAGAAGAGGGAACGGCUACUCCCUAGUUCCAUGAUCGGGCAAAUCCAAGCUCUGGCCAUUAAAUCAGUUCCAAGACGGGCUUCACAAAUGCUCAGGGUCGGGUUGGUACUGGGGUAGUUUUGAUAGACGAUCCUUUUCAUGGCCUUGCAUAAACCAAAUGCUGAGUAAAAUUCUGCUGAGGGUCCCAGGCCACCAACUCCUGCAGGACACCAUCCUGGGAAGUAUUCUUAGAACCUUGGCCGUGUCCAGGUCUAUCCUGCCCACUAUCAUCUUCAGUAAAGAGAAGAUCUUGCUUAUCAUUAAGCGUCGCCCAAUUUGAACUGGGUCCCCAGUGAUAUCCACCAGCAGAUGUCAUUGCGAAAUGUGGUUGCCAGAGAAGUGGCUUGCAGAAGUCCACCCGGGGACUCUCUUCCAUGCAGUGAAGGGAAAGCCUAUUGUCCUAACACCUUAACCACCACUCCCCACACCUCCCUAUAUGUAAAUGAAAUCAGUGCUAAAUGGAAGGUCCAUUUACCUAAGCUACUAUCGCAUUUAAUUAGUUGCUGGAAAAUUAAAAAAAAAAAGUGCCUUUUUUGUUUUUUAGCAAACUGACUCCUUGUAAUUCCUAUUUUGCUUCUGGAGAGUCCAAUCCGAGUCCUGUGAAUGCCUCAAACCAACGUUUG
rnacentral:lncRNA from 1 species